rnacentral:rRNA from 1 species
CAGUAGCCGCGGGAAUACGAAGGGUGCAAGCGUUAAUCGGAAUUACUGGGCGUAAAGCGUGCGUAGGCGGUUUGUUAAGUCUGUUGUGAAAUCCCCGGGCUCAACCUGGGAACGGCAAUGGAUACUGGCAAGCUAGAGUGUGUCAGAGGAUGGUGGAAUUCCCGGUGUAGCGGUGAAAUGCGUAGAGAUCGGGAGGAACAUCAGUGGCGAAGGCGGCCAUCUGGGACAACACUGACGCUGAGGCACGAAAGCGUGGGGAGCAAACAGGAUUAGAGACCCCUGUAGUCCCUGUCUCUUAUAC